rnacentral:rRNA from 1 species
UACGUAGGCAGCGAGCGUUGUUCGGAAUUACUGGGCGUAAAGAGUGUGUAGGUGGUGAUCUAAGUCUGUCGUGAAAAUCUCCCGGCUUAACUGGGAGGGUGCGCGGAAACUGGAUCGCUAGAGUAUGGGAGAGGUAAGCGGAAUUCCUGGUGUAGCGGUGAAAUGCGUAGAUAUCAGGAGGAACACCUGUGGUGUAGACAGCUUACUGGACCAUUACUGACACUGAGACACGAAAGCGUGGGUAGCAAACAGG